GAAGCUUAUAUCUAUCUGUAUUCUAGUAAUCUAUUGAUAUCUUGAAGUGUCCUAAACACUUCUAAGAUUGCAAAGUAUAUCAUACCUGUGAAUUCAUGUCCAGAUAUGAAGAUUAGUUUGAAUGCAUUGUUUGUUAGACACUGCUAUGUGAUGUCAUCGUAAGUUCAUUUGAACCUCCUUCCUUAUUUGUUGCUUUCAUCCUGUCUUCUCGUUCCCUUUUAUUCUUACUACAUAAUUUACACUUAAGUUGUUCAUAUAUGCUGCGUAAUUCAUUGAAAUAAUUCAAACUGAAGUCUUCCUUUUUUCUUUGCAGCGGCAUGUCUCUGAUUUCUAUAUCUCUGAUUUCCAGUCUGGAUUAAGGGCUUUGGUCAAAACUGGGUAUGGUGCAAGAGUAACCCCUUAUGUCGAAGAGUCUAUCGUUGUGGAUAUUGAUCAAUCAAAUAGGGACAUGUCACCUGAAUUUGUCAGAUGGCUGGCACAGAGAAAUCUGUCCAGUGAUGACCGAAUAAUGCGAUUGAAAGAAGGGUAAGAUUUAACUCAACUUCAAUGAAACUUGAAUAUUUCUUCUGCUUGAGUUCUUUGAUUAAUAAUAGACUACAUUCUCAAUCAUAUCUAGAUGCUGUCUCUACCCUCUACAGUUUAAUUAUUGGUGAAUGUAUUUUUUAGUUUUUUUUUUAAACCCCUUCCAUGCAUGUUGUUCUCAGUUUAGUUUUUCCUCUCCUGCGUCUUUGUUCAGGUAUAUAAAAGAAGGUAGCAGUGUCAGUGUAAUGGGAGUUGUCCAACGGAAUGAUAACGUUCUGAUGAUUGUUCCUCCUCCAGAGCCAUUUUCAACAGGAUGUCAGUGGGCUAAAUGCAUUCUUCCAGCCAGUCUGGAGGGCAUCGUUUUGAGAUGUGAGGACAGUUCAAAGAUUGAUGUCAUUCCAGUGUAGCACUUUUAUCAUUCAAGAAGGUGUUUUUGUUUUAUUAUGUUGGAAAACCUUCUUCCGAUGGCAACAGGAAUGGCAUCUUCACUCAGUUAACCAGAUGUAUUGUUUGUCGAUUUGAUUUAAUUUUUUUGUAAUGUCUAUACUUGCUGUAAUGGUGUUGGUGUCAUCAAUUGUGUAGAGGCAACAUGUUGAUACUGAAGAUUUUUGAGAGAGUUGUUAUUGCUAGAAAGUCAGAUACUUGUGUUAUCGUUGGGGGCUUUACAAAAACAAAACAUUAUAGCCCAAUGGAUACAAGAUGAUGUGUAUUUGGUAUUAGUUAUUCUUUUGUGGCCACUUAGCCAUUCUCAAUGCUGUUCUUGCAAAUGAACCUCCACUGCUCCAGCAUUGCGUGCUUACUUUGCGUGUUCAGAAUCUUGGAAAUUCAACGAUAAGAAUGCUUGCUACCGAUACUUGAAAAUAUACUGGACGAGUGAUGUCCAUGCUAAGCACGGGCCCAACAUAUUAGUGUUGAUACAUUUUACCUAAUAAAGCUAUUAUGUAGCCACCUAAAUCCAGAUAUAAUAAACUAGUACAACAGCACAGAGAAGUUGUUAGAAUAGUUCUCCAUCUUGUAAAUUAUCAAAGUGAAAAAAAAAUAAUCACAAAUAUCUAUCUUUACUUCUGAAAAAUUUCGGGAGAGACGACAUUUAUUUUCAAGAGUUAGCUUAUAAAUAAAAAGUCCUAACAAAAGUUACUGCCCUUUUUGAUAUUGUAGAUCCGCAGGUUUCAUGAGAAAUAACUUUUCUAUCUUUUUCAAAGAUAAAAGUUAGGCUGAUACACAUCACUCAUUCCAAAUUUCACUUAUGAAAUUAGAUCCGCCAUUUUUGUCGAAAAUAAUUGUUCUAUCUUCUCAAGAAUAGAAGUAAGGCCAAUAUACAUUACUCUCUCCAAAUUUUAGUUACGAAAUUAGAUUAAGUAUAUUGUUAAUAUAAUACCUUUAAAAGAACGAAUUAAAUGAAUAACUUUACCUAUCAAAAUUUAAAUAGGAUCACCUACUUACAAAAUGUUUUUAUCUUGAGCCGAAGGUCGAUCAGAAACAUUAUUCAAGGUUGUUGUGUUUUUAGAAGUUUUGAGUGGUAUAGAUGAGAAAUAUGAGGGGAGACAAAAGGUACUCUAGAGAGAGAGAGAGAGAGAGAGGAGUAGGAGAGCAGCAAAAUAAAGGAAGGUGGAGGGUCUGUUUUCAGUUUCCACUAUUAUUUCCCCAUCAAAGAAAGCAAUACCAACAAGCACUGUCCAAACCCAGUCUGUUGAUCCAUCAAUCACACUUUCAACUCAUUUUCUUACUUUAGGUAAAAUGCAACUCUCUCAUCUUACCUUUUCUCUUGCAAAAUGUUUAGGGUUUGUGAUCUCUAGCUAAAAAUGUCCUUUGCUCAUUCUCUGGGAUUUCAACAAAUUGGUAACCAGAUCUAUAAUAUAUGUCAUUUUAUUGCUAAUUGACAACUUAAAUCUCUCUACAUUUGCCCCAACUCAUUAUUUAACUGUGAAUUUUAGUAUAUAUGAAUCAACUUAUUGGAAGCUAUACUUUUGUAAUUGAUCUGUCAAGUAUGUGGGAAUAGAUUAUGUUUUAAACUGGUAACCAGAUCUAUAAUUUAUGAUCAAUGUAUGUCAUGCUACUGUACUGUUAUCCCUCUUUCUGUUACUGUUAUUGCUGAAUGAAAAAUCAAAUAUUUGUGCAUUUGCCACACUUCUUCCUUUAAGUCAUUUAGUUGUGAUUUUCUUGAAUAAAUUUGUUGCUUGUAUCUGGAAUUUGUCUCCUUUUGUUAUUGUUGGUGUAUGAAUUGGAAGCUAUACUUUUGUGAGUAAUUUGAUUGAAUUUCCUGUAAAGUCAAGUAUGUGGGAAUAGAUGAUGUUCUAAAGUGGAUCAGUUUGUUUGAUGUGCUUUUUUAACAAUGAUGCACUAUUUACUUCUGUCUAAUAAAGAACAGUAUUUUUUAUUGAAAUAGGUACAACCACACUGCUGGAUACGGUGAGGGAAGGUGAUUUUUAGAGCCUGCUAACAAGUUUUUGUUCAAGGGUGUUAGGGACUGUCUUUGUGUAUUGUCAUUGGGCAUCUGCUGAUAGUUAGGUUGGUGUUAUGGGUUCUCGAUUCCCAUCUCAUCAGUUGAGUAGUGGCCUUUAUGUAUCUGGCCGGCCUGAGCAGCCAAAAGAAAAGACCCCCACUAUGAGCUCAGUUGCCAUGCCUUAUACUGGAGGGGAUAUUAAAAAGUCUGGAGAACUUGGAAAAAUGUUUGUUACCCCAGCGGAUGGCUCAAGGUCGCGGAAGUCUGGACCGAUCAACAGCAAUGCCCCGAUGAGAACAGGGUCCUUUAGUGGUGCUACUUCUCAUUCAGGUCAACUUAAUUCAGGCAAUCGUAUGACUUCUGGUGGUGCUCCUGGAUAUGUUUCUAUGAAAAAGACCAACUCUGGGCCUUUGAAUAAACAUGGGGAGCCUAUGAAGAAGUCCUCUGGUCCUCAAGCUGGAGGAGGUAAUGUUUCGUCCCGCCAAAAUUCUGGCCCUAUCCCACCAAUUCUCCCUACCACAGGCCUUAUUACAUCUGGUCCUCUAAAUUCUGCUGGAGCUCCUCGUAAAGUGUCAGGUCCCUUGGAUUCAACAGGGUCAAUCAAGCUGCAAAAUUAUUCUGUAGUUAAUAACCAAGCUGUUACUCGCAUCAACCAAUGUGACGAAUACUCCUUCCGCAAGAGCUUCCCAAAGACAAUAUUUUGGUCCAUCAUUCUUUUAUUUUUGAUGGGAUUUAUUGCUGGUGGCUUUAUCCUUGGUGCUGUUCACAAUCCCAUUCUCCUCGUAGUUGUUGUUGUACUAUUUGCUAUAGUCUGUGUGGUGUUCACCUGGAAUACUUGCUAUGGAAGAAAAGCUAUCAUUGGUUUCAUUUCUCAGUAUCCAGAUGCUGAGCUUAGAACUGCAAAAGAUGGCCAAUUUGUUAAAGUUUCUGGGGUAUGUAUUGUCUUUGGCGACACCUUUGUGUGUACUUCCUUUGUUGCACUUCCUAUCUCAUUCUAUAAAAUAAAUAGCUACUACUAUUCUCACCUAUCAAAUAAGAAAAUAGCUACUACAACUCUCAUUUGUCAUAGUUAUGCUCUCUUUACUAAUGACCGGUGACAUGUGAACUUGGUAGAGUAGUUAUGAUUUCCAUUUCUUAAAGUUGAUCUUGAACUCGGGUAUUGCUGUUAGUUCAGAUAAGUGCUUGAUUUGGAGUUAUCAUUAAUGGUUUAUUCAACUCUUGAUUUAAUUUGUGUCUUGAAUAGAUGCUUUAGUGUUAAACCAUUAAAAAAUUGCUACUCAGUGGAGUAUCAUGGUUUCUAUUGUGUUUAUGAGACUGCUAGUGAUUAACUCAAGUUCUCUUUUCACUUUAGGUGUAUAAUUUUGUGGUGAAACAAAUUCUUUCAAUUGCUUUGCUAAAAGAUAUAAUGUUUAAAAUAUCAAAACUUAAGAGAUGUCCUUUGUGUAAUGUAGAAUUGCAAUUGAAAAGACCUAUGAAAUUUCAAUAUAGUCUUCCAAUAUAACAAUUGUUUGCAUACACUCCACCCUCCCCAAACCCCAUUUGUGGGAUCACACUGGGUAUGUUGUUGUAGGCACUUCUAACUUUGGCUUUAUGAGCUUAAAAUACUCUACCUAAUGUUAUCAGUAACUUGCUUAGAUUUAAUAUAUAUUUUUUGUUUUGUAUGUUGUUCUUGUUGUAUUUUGAUUCCAUUUUGGAUCUUUCAAUGUUUUUAUAGGUAGUUACCUGUGGAAAUGUCCCUCUUGAAUCAUCGUUUCAGAAGGUUUCUAGAUGUGUAUAUACAGUCACAAGCUUAUAUGAGUACCGAGGGUGGGAUUCAAAAUCUGCCAACCCAGAACAUCGUCGGUUUUCUUGGGGUCUUCGUACGCUGGAGGUAAGGAAAGACUAUAUAAGUUCUCUUCAUUUAGAAAGAAACCAAUGUUGCUGUGCGUUCCUCCUUGCAGUGGUGGCCCAUGAUGAUGGAAACUAAUUAAUGCUAUACGAAUAUUGCUUAAUUUUCUAAUGCUUUCUUUUGUGUUUCAUGGAAUGUGUUCGAGGAUAUUUGUUAUGCUGUUUAUCUUCUUUUUUUUUUCUACUGAAAAGCUUUAAGGAGAGAUUUCGAGGUCUCUAAAUUCAGCAGCUAGACAUUAAUUGAAAAAGGGUCACUCACUCACUUGGUGCACGAACCAUCCCGCAUUCAUGAACGAUCGAGGGAAAGGCUGCACCCCAAGGCUGUGUAAUGUAGACAACCUACCUAACACAAGCAUCAACAGCUAGACUUUAAGUCGAAGAAAAUAACAGAUAUCAUAGAGUUGAGAAAACAAAAAACACUGACAAAGAUUUGGGCUUGUCUGGAAUUGUAAGCAUGUCUCACUGCUUUAACAGUUUUCAACAUCGAGAGUUCCUUGUUCGUAAUAAGAGUUAUAUGGAAUGUGUGAAAUAUAAUCUGAAUAAGGAAAGAAUAACAAUAGGGACAAAAGUAAGCUCAAGGAAUCUUCUAAAUCUAACAUAAUAAAGCAACAACGCUUCUCAGAUUUGAGAUAAAGUCGUAAAAUCUCUGCGCCUUUGAAAAAGUCUUACAGACGAGAUAAGUUAAAAAGUAAAUGUCACUUAAUAGGAAGGCUCCAACUUAAAGAGAACUAUCUAAUUCUUGUUUAUAGGGAUAAGUAGGAAUCCUAAUGCCCUUUUUACUGGAUGUGUUUUAAGCUUACCGCAAAUAACUUAUCACCAUGCUAUAAUGGAUUUUUUUUUGAAUUCCAGCUUAUAGAAAACAGUUUAUCUGUGUUUUGAGGUAAACCAAUCAAAGCAUACUUCAAAGCACUGUUCCAACUAACCGAUGGAAAAGUUCUAGGCAGAGGGACAGAAUGAGGCUUAUAUGUAUUUGUAUUCUAGAAAACUAUUGAUAUCUUGAAGUGUUCUAAAGACUUCUAAGGUUGCAAAGUAUGUCAUAUCUGUGAGUUCAUGUCCAGAUAUCAAGAGAAGUUUGAAUGCUUUGUUUGUUUGAUACUGCUAUGUGAUGUGAUGUCAUUGUACGUUUAUUUGAAUCUCCCUUUUCUUGUUUGUUGCUUUCAUCCUGCUCUUCUCGUUCCCUUUUAUUUUUACCACAUAAUUUACACUUAAGUUGUUCAUAUAUGCUGUGUAAUUCAUUGAAAUAAUCCUUACAGAAAACUGAAGUCUUCUUUUGUCUUUGCAGCGGCAUGUCUCUGAUUUCUAUAUCUCUGAUUUCCAGUCUGGAUUAAGGGCUUUGGUCAAAACUGGGUAUGGUGCAAGAGUAACCCCUUAUGUUGAAGAGUCUAUUGUUGUGGAUAUUGAUCAAUCAAAUAGGGACAUGUCACCUGAAUUUGUCAGAUGGCUGGCACAGAGAAAUCUGUCCAGUGAUGACCGAAUAAUGCGAUUGAAAGAAGGGUAUGGUUUAACUCAACUUCAAUGAAUCUUGAAUAUUUCUUCUGCUUGAGUUCUUUGAUUAAAUAACAGACAACAUGCUCAAUCAUAUCUAGAUGCCUGCUUUGAUUAAUGUAUAUAUUAUUACUUUUUUAUCCCUGCCAUGCAUGUUGUCCUCAGUUUGGUUUUUCCUCUCCCAAAUCUUU
rnacentral:lncRNA from 1 species